rnacentral:tRNA from 1 species
GCCUUCGUGAUGUAACGGUAGCACAUUCGGUGCGUAAUCGAGAGGUUCAGGUUCAAGUCCCGUUGAGGGCA